UACGAAGGGGCUAGCGUUGCUCGGAAUGACUGGGCGUAAAGGGCGCGUAGGCGGAUGGCACAGUCAGAUGUGAAAUUCCCGGGCUUAACCUGGGGCUGCAUUUGAUACGUGUGAUCUAGAGUGAGGAAGAGGGUCGUGGAAUUCCCAGUGUAGAGGUGAAAUUCGUAGAUAUUGGGAAGAACACCGGUGGCGAAGGCGGCGACCUGGUCCUUGACUGACGCUGAGGCGCGAAAGCGUGGGGAGCAAACAGG
rnacentral:rRNA from 1 species